rnacentral:rRNA from 1 species
GUGCCAGCAGCCGCGGUAAGACGAACCGUCCUAACGUUGUUCGGAUUCACUGGGCUUAAAGGGCGCGUAGGCGGGUGAGCAAGUCCGGGGUGAAAUCUUUCGGCUUAACCGGAAAACUGCCUUGGAUACUGCUCGUCUAGAGGGAGGUAGGGGUCUGUGGAACUUCCGGUGGAGCGGUGAAAUGCGUUGAUAUCGGAAGGAACGCCGGUGGCGAAAGCGACGGACUGGACCUCUUCUGACGCUGAGGCGCGAAAGCUAGGGUAGCGAACGGGAUUAGAAACCCCUGUAGUCC